AGCGGCGAGUGAAGCGGCAAAAGCUCAAAUUUGAAAUCUGGCGUCUUUGGCGUCCGAGUUGUAAUUUGAAGAAGGUAUCUUUGGGCCCGGCUCUUGUCUAUGUUCCUUGGAACAGGACGUCACAGAGGGUGAGAAUCCCGUGCGAUGAGAUGACCCGGGUCUGUGUAAAGUUCCUUCGACGAGUCGAGUUGUUUGGGAAUGCAGCUCUAAGUGGGUGGUAAAUUCCAUCUAAAGCUAAAUAUUGGCGAGAGACCGAUAGCGAACAAGUACAGUGAUGGAAAGAUGAAAAGAACUUUGAAAAGAGAGUGAAAAAGUACGUGAAAUUGUUGAAAGGGAAGGGCUUGAGAUCAGACUUGGUAUUUUGCAUGUUGCUCUCUCGGGGGCGGCCGCUGCGGUUUACCGGGCCAGCAUCGGUUUGGAGCGGCAGGAUAAUGGCGGAGGAAUGUGGCACGGCUUCUGCUGUGUGUUAUAGCCUCUGACGAUACUGCCAGCCUAGACCGAGGACUGCGGUUUUUUACCUAGGAUGUUGGCAUAAUGAUCUUAAGUCGCCCGUCUUGAAACACGGACCAAGGAGUCUAACGUCUAUGCGAGUGUUUGGGUGUAAAACCCGUACGCGUAAUGAAAGUGAACGAAGGUGGGGGCCUAUUAGGGUGCACCAUCGACCGAUCCUGAUGUGUUCGGAUGGAUUUGAGUAAGAGCAUAGCUGUUGGGACCCGAAAGAUGGUGAACUAUGCCUGAAUAGGGUGAAGCCAGAGGAAACUCUGGUGGAGGCUCGUAGCGGUUCUGACGUGCAAAUCGAUCGUCGAAUUUGGGUAUAGGGGCGAAAGAC
rnacentral:rRNA from 1 species